ensembl:snRNA U6 U6 spliceosomal RNA
GUGCUCGCCUUGGCAGCACAUAUGCUAGAGCUGGAAUGACACAGAGAGGAGUAGCACGCUCCCUGUGCAAGGGUGACACACAGCUUCCUGAAGCAUUGCAUAGUUUU